GAACUGCUGAGGAGUCCUAAAAUAGGACGAAACGGCCGUCCAGUAC
rnacentral:hammerhead_ribozyme from 1 species